rnacentral:sRNA from 1 species
AGGGGUGGGGGGGAAGGCUUAUCUGGAACAGUCAUGUUGUUAGUAACUGCAAUUAAUUUCUCUCCUAUUUACUGGGGGCUAAUGGAUACAGCAGUUGAAUUCAUCGCAGCCAUUGAGUUCAUCAGGAUCAUGAUGGUGUGAGACGUUUCCGUCUCUGAACUUUCAGUUCCUGAGACAUCUAAAGGUGUCCGAGUGUUUUGCCUGCCUGUAUGAACAUAUACUAUGAGUGCUGUGCCUUGGAGCUGGAAUGAACAUAGUUCUGUGCAUGAAUCCUCUGAAAGAGCGGACAAGAUUCUCUGUGGAACCAUGGCUAUCCUUGAACUCACAGAGAUUCAUUGCUGCUGGGAGUAAAGUUUACAGGACCACCAUAUCUGACAUGAAAAUUCAAAGCACACUUAGAAGACUUUGUGUUCUCUAGAGAAGUUAGCAGGAUUGUUUAAAUUUUGAGAACUGGCCACACCAGACACAGAAUCAAGAUAAAACUCAACUGAUAAAACACAGAAAUGCUCAAGUGAGGUCAUGAACAAACAGUAAGUCAAUCACCUGCUUUGUACCCAUCUGUCUACUCACAAAGGCAGAAAUAUGAUGGUAGGUGGAACGGUUGGUUUUCAAUGAAGGAAUUCUGUUUAUGUCAAUGUUCUGGAAAAUAGGAAAUAACAUACAGUUAAAAGUUAAUGCGAAAAGUACAAUUGCUUUUUAUUUUUUGCAACAAUAUUUUGCUAUGUAGCCUGAGACCAGCCUGGACUUAUUAUGGCAAGUCUCCUGCCUCAAUGUGCUGGGAAUAGUGUGCGCUGUCACAGAACUGUGAGUUAACCUACACUAUAGUUUGUUCUCAAGUUGUUUUAUUUUAAUCCCCACUAGAAGAUGCUAGGAGGGAACAAGGUAGAAACUUCAGGGGUGAUUAGGGCAGCUCUUUUGAUGAAUAGAUUAAUCCUUUCAAGUGUUUAAUGGAUUCCAAGGCUGACUGUUUUUAAAGUGAAUCUGCUACAAAAGCCAGUUUGCUCAGACCUCCUUGUUUAUGGCUUUCAUGCUCUCCAUCAACUUGUGACUGCCAGUAAGAAGACCACCACCAGAUGCAGCCCAUUCAUCCUGGAGAAACAUAGUCUUUUCUCUGUGAAUUACUUUGCCUAUUGCACUGUAUUAUUAGAAACAGAAAAUGCACUAAAAUAAGACUUAAAAUCCGCUUAAUAAUGAAAGCAAUCUUUUCAUCCAAAGUUAAAAUUACUUCAUGUUAAUAAAAAUACUAGAUCUUCAAUUCUUCAAAUUUACAGGACCACCAUAUCUGACAUGAAAAUUCAAAGCACACUUAGAAGACUUUGUGUUCUCUAGAGAAGUUAGCAGGAUUGUUUAAAUUUUGAGAACUGGCCACACCAGACACAGAAUCAAGAUAAAACUCAACUGAUAAAACACAGAAAUGCUCAAGUGAGGUCAUGAACAAACAGUAAGUCAAUCACCUGCUUUGUACCCAUCUGUCUACUCACAAAGGCAGAAAUAUGAUGGUAGGUGGAACGGUUGGUUUUCAAUGAAGGAAUUCUGUUUAUGUCAAUGUUCUGGAAAAUAGGAAAUAACAUACAGUUAAAAGUUAAUGCGAAAAGUACAAUUGCUUUUUAUUUUUUGCAACAAUAUUUUGCUAUGUAGCCUGAGACCAGCCUGGACUUAUUAUGGCAAGUCUCCUGCCUCAAUGUGCUGGGAAUAGUGUGCGCUGUCACAGAACUGUGAGUUAACCUACACUAUAGUUUGUUCUCAAGUUGUUUUAUUUUAAUCCCCACUAGAAGAUGCUAGGAGGGAACAAGGUAGAAACUUCAGGGGUGAUUAGGGCAGCUCUUUUGAUGAAUAGAUUAAUCCUUUCAAGUGUUUAAUGGAUUCCAAGGCUGACUGUUUUUAAAGUGAAUCUGCUACAAAAGCCAGUUUGCUCAGACCUCCUUGUUUAUGGCUUUCAUGCUCUCCAUCAACUUGUGACUGCCAGUAAGAAGACCACCACCAGAUGCAGCCCAUUCAUCCUGGAGAAACAUAGUCUUUUCUCUGUGAAUUACUUUGCCUAUUGCACUGUAUUAUUAGAAACAGAAAAUGCACUAAAAUAAGACUUAAAAUCCGCUUAAUAAUGAAAGCAAUCUUUUCAUCCAAAGUUAAAAUUACUUCAUGUUAAUAAAAAUACUAGAUCUUCAA